GUCCAGGGGCGGGAAUCGAACCCACAACCUUCUGCUUACAGGGCAGGUGCCAUGUCCACUAGGCUACCCUGGA
rnacentral:tRNA from 1 species